CAUACCAUAUCUCCAUUCUAUAAAAGCAGUUCCACAAUAGCUCAAUCAGCCUUAGAUACCAACCAUAUCCUUAUCAACUUUUGUAAUAGAUAAUUACAUGGAGAAAAAAACAAUGAAGUUUGCUUUCGUUAUUUUCUUGAUUGUUACAUCUGUGAUGACUAUCGUAACAUUUCGGGGUGUUGAAGCAACACGAAGUUUAUUGCCUGAAAAAACUCCUCAGCUUGUUUUGCAUCAUGAAGCUUCGCCGCAUAUGGUGGAUUUACAAAAUAUAACCUGCGAUAAAAAGUGUCGUUUAACUUGUAUUCCUCGUCAGAAUAUUUUUAUAUGUUUCUGCAAAUGCUAAUUUUAUAUCAUAUUUUAUCAAAA